UACAGAGGUCUCGAGCGUUGUUCGGAUUCAUUGGGCGUAAAGGGCGCGUAGGCGGCGGGGUAAGUCUGGUGUGAAAUCUCGGAGCUCAACUCCGAAAUUGCACUGGAUACUGCUCUGCUAGAGGGCUGGAGAGGAGAUCGGAAUUCACGGUGUAGCAGUGAAAUGCGUAGAUAUCGUGAGGAAGACCAGUGGCGAAGGCGGAUCUCUGGACAGCCCCUGACGCUGAGGAGCGAAAGCCAGGGGAGCAAACGGG
rnacentral:rRNA from 1 species